AAUAGGGACAUCCUCCUCUUGUCAAGAUAUUAAAAGAAGCACAGUUCUCCAUCAAAGAAAUGAGGCUGUCACACAGAGUAAGGCUCGAGAAGCAGUGAAAUAAUCACCAGUCAGAUGUUAAGAUAAACUCCAUCAAAUUCCCAGCUCCACGGAUCAUCUAUGAAUAGUCUCUCGAUACACUGGAUUGCACUUGCUGUGUGCAUAGCUCUCCUAGUGAGUGCCAUACCGUCUGUAUACACGUUGGACAAUGGAGACUCCUCGUUAGAAGCAGCUGAAGAUCUGCCGAGUGUCUUCCUUGCUAUUCUGGCUAGAAAUUCAGCUCUCGGUUAUCUGGAGAACUUGGACUAUCCUAAAGACAGGAUUUCAUUGUGGAUCAGAACAGACCAUAACGGUGACAACACCACGACAAUACUUGCUGAGUGGGCAGAAAACGUUAAGCUCUUGACUUGAAGUUAUCAGACAAGUGGCUGUAUCCAAACCUUGACCCUUUCGAGGAGCAUGACAAGAGGUUCGUCCAUGUUGCCCAGUUGAGACAGGAAGGUCUGGAGGGGGCCAGGCGUUCAGGGGCAGACUACCUCUUUCGGCUAGACUGUGACAACUUUCUGGUGAACAACAGGACACUACGGAUUCUGAUGGAUCAGCAAAGAUCUGCCUAUGCACAUUCUGAACACCGAGGUGUUGGGGUUCAUGGUCAAACCAGAGGACUAUGAGAGCCUGGACCACGAAAACCUUGAUGAUUGAUGACGGAGGGUCUGGAUCAAAUCCUGAUUCUGUAGGAUGAUGUCGUGUUUGAGCCCUACUUCCGACAUGACCUCACUAGAGUGCUGGAAGAGUCCAAUCGGAUCACACCAAACUGGGACCUCAUGGGAUGGUCUUCUUCACUGGGCCUGUGACCGUGGCAACCUGAACAUGGUGAAACUACUUGUGAAGAGGGGAGCAGAUGUUAAUAUUGAGGACACAGACAAUCAGACACCUCUUCAUUAUGCUGUGUCAUGUGAUCAUCAUGCUGUCAUCUCUUAUCUACUACAAGUGGGAUUCCUAUCUCAAGAUGUGAUUGAGAAUCAAGCACCUAUAUAAUUAUAUAGCCUCGAUUCCAGGCCGCACCUUUAGACAAACAAUUCAAUCUAGUUUCAGGUUAUUAAUUUUGCACAUUUCCCAUUAUUGACCAAUUAACUUUCAAGUUUUACAUGAUCAGAAUGUAA